ensembl:snRNA U6 U6 spliceosomal RNA
GAACUCACUUUGGCAGCACAUAUACUAAAAUUGAAACAAUAGAAAGAUUAGCAUGGCCCCUGCACAAGGAUGACACACAAAUUUGUGAAGCAUUCCAUAUUAAA